AUUUAAGCAGCUAAAUUUACUCCAUCAAAUGUGACCUUGACUUAAGCUCCCAACAAACAUGCCCUUAAUUACCACCUCCCAAAAAUGGUGACUAUCCAUCUUCAAACGAAUCUCCACCCAAUUUGUCUCUCUCUAGAAUCAUCCCCCAAUAGCCUCUCUCUAGAAUCACCAACCCAAAAACUCCCAAAACAUAAAGGAAGAAUUGGUCUUCUUCAGAUCUUUUGCAUCAUAUAUUCCAUCACUAUCUCACAAAUCUACCAUUACGUUCGAGUAAUGUAUCGACUAAAUCAAAAGGUUCAGGCACCAAUCACAACGGGCUUGCACACCAAUUCCAAAUGUAUUGACGUGAACACCCAUGUGAAGGACAAUGGAAAAAGGCCAUUGAAGAUGUAGCUCCAGACCCAAGCACAAAAAAGAAAAAGAUCGCGACACCACACAGGUUAGGCACAUUUCAAUUUAACAAAAUCAGGAAUUGUACGGUAUGUUCAUUUUUUGUUGAAAAUGAAAUUAUAUCAAUUUUAUAUUUGAGAUAACUAACCCCAUUGUGUAUAUUUUUCACUUGCAAAACAUACAAAAAAUUUAACAUGUCUUUGGAAUUACAAAAACUAGAAAAGACGAUUUCCAUUAACAAACUGCAGAAGUUGGGGGAAUUGUAGAAAAUUGUAUGUUGUUUUAAUUACCGAAUGUAAUUAGACACGAUUAAGG
rnacentral:lncRNA from 1 species